rnacentral:rRNA from 1 species
UUAAUGGGUGAUGGCGUGCCUUUUGUAGAAUGAACCGGCGAGUUACGAUUUGAUGCAAGGUUAAGCAGUAAAUGUGGAGCCGUAGCGAAAGCGAGUCUGAAUAGGGCGUUUAGUAUUUGGUCGUAGACCCGAAACCAGGUGAUCUACCCUUGGUCAGGUUGAAGUUCAGGUAACACUGAAUGGAGGACCGAACCGACUUACGUUGAAAAGUGAGCGGAUGAACUGAGGGUAGCGGAGAAAUUCCAAUCGAACCUGGAGAUAGCUGGUUCUCUCCGAAAUAGCUUUAGGGCUAGCCUCAAGUGAUGAUUAUUGGAGGUAGAGCACUGUUUGGACGAGGGGCCCCUCUCGGGUUACCGAAUUCAGACAAACUCCGAAUGCCAAUUAAUUUAACUUGGGAGUCAGAACAUGGGUGAUAAGGUCCGUGUUCGAAAGGGAAACAGCCCAGACCACCAGCUAAGGUCCCAAAAUAUAUGUUAAGUGGAAAAGGAUGUGGCGUUGCCCAGACAACUAGGAUGUUGGCUUAGAAGCAGCCAUCAUUUAAAGAGUGCGUAAUAGCUCACUAGUCGAGUGACACUGCGCCGA